rnacentral:rRNA from 1 species
CUCCUACGGGAGGCAGCAGUGGGGGAUAUUGGACAAUGGGGGAAACCCUGAUCCAGCGAUGCCGCGUGAGGGAAGAAGGUUUUCGGAUUGUAAAACUCUGUGGAGGGGGGCGAUAAUGACGGUACCCCUUUAGGAAGCCACGGCUAACUACGUGCCAGCAGCCGCGGUAAUACGUAGGUGGCGAGCGUUGUCCGGAAUUACUGGGGGUAAAGGGAGUGUAGGCGGGGAAGCAAGGCAGAAGGGAAAACAAUGGGGUUAACCCAUAG